UCCUAGGUAGUGUAAAAGGUUAAUAUGCUUGGCUGCUAACCAAAAGGUUGGUAGUUCAAGUCUACCCAGAGGUG
rnacentral:tRNA from 1 species